UGAGUAACACGUGGGGAUCUGCCCAAUGGUACGGAAUAACUCAGGGAAACUUGUGCUAAUACCGUAUGUGCCCUUCGGGGGAAAGAUUUAUCGCCAUUGGAUGAACCCGCGUCAGAUUAGCUAGUUGGUGGGGUAAGAGCCCACCAAGGCGACGAUCUGUAGCUGGUCUGAGAGGAUGAUCAGCCACACUGGGACUGAGACACGGCCCACACUCCUACGGGAGGCAGCAGUGGGGAAUAUUGGACAAUGGGCGCAAGCCUGAUCCAGCCAUGCCGCGUGAGUGAUGAAGGCCUUAGGGUUGUAAAGCUCUUUCGCCGACGAAGAUAAUGACGGUAGUCGGAGAAGAAGCCCCGGCUAACUUCGUGCCAGCAGCCGC
rnacentral:rRNA from 1 species